GACGAACGCUGGCGGCGUGCUUAACUCAUGCAAGUCGAACGGUGAAGGGAUCAGCUUGCUGGUUCUGGAUGAGUGGCGAACGGGUGAGUAACACGUGAGUAACCUGCCCCCUUCUUCUGGAUAACCGCAUGAAAGUGUGGCUAAUACGGGAUAUUCUGGGUCUGUCGCAUGAUGGGUCUGGGAAAGAUAUUGUUUCGGUGGGGGAUGGGCUCGCGGCCUAUCAGCUUGUUGGUGGGGUGAUGGCCUACCAAGGCGGUGACGGGUAGCCGGCCUGAGAGGGUGGACGGUCACACUGGGACUGAGACACGGCCCAGACUCCUACGGGAGGCAGCAGUGGGGAAUAUUGCACAAUGGGCGCAAGCCUGAUGCAGCGACGCCGCGUGAGGGAUGGAGGCCUUCGGGUUGUAAACCUCUUUCGCCAGUGAAGCAGGCCUGCUCCUUGUGGGUGGGUUGACGGUAGCUGGAUAAGAAGCGCCGGCUAACUACGUG
rnacentral:rRNA from 1 species